rnacentral:tRNA from 1 species
UCCCUGGUGUCUCAGAUGGUAAAGCGUCUGCCUGUAAUGCAGGAGACCCAGGUUCGAUCCCUGGGUUGGGAA